rnacentral:lncRNA from 1 species
AAAACAUAUUCAGGCAUCACUGUGGGCAACUUAUCUAUGUACGCCUCAGGUUCUAUCCUCGAACAGUCAACUAUGUCCGUGUUAUCUGUGGGAGGUCGGCGGAGUUGACUCUGUCACGGCAGAUUGGAGAGGAUUGGGAUCUUGAUCUCAUGCAGGGAGGUGAGGCCACACUCUUAGAAGUUAGAACAAUAGAUGUGUAUUUAUGAAAAAAUUGAAUGGAUCAUGAAGUUUAUUGUUAGACUUGUUUAUUUUGAAGUUGAUCCAUAUUUCAAUUUAAUAUUGUAAUACUCAAGCUACUACCAUCUGGAUGCAGCGAAGGAGGUGUAAUCUCAUACUGAUGCUGGUUGAAGUCCUCCGUUGACUUGCAAGGAUGAGGUCGAGCGCAUCGUGGCCGCUGGAGUAGGAGAAGCAACGGGCGGCGGGGCUGAG